rnacentral:rRNA from 1 species
UGGGGAAUUUUCCGCAAUGGGCGAAAGCCUGACGGAGCAAUACCGCGUGAGGGAGGAAGGCUCUUGGGUUGUAAACCUCUUUUCUCAGGGAAUAAGUUCUGAAGGUACCUGAGGAAUAAGCAUCGGCUAACUCCGUGCCAGCAGCCGCGGUAAUACGGAGGAUGCAAGCGUUAUCCGGAAUGAUUGGGCGUAAAGCGUCCGCAGGUGGCUUUGUAAGUCUGUUGUUAAAGCGUCUAGCUUAACUAGAUACAGGCGAUGGAAACUACAAAGCUAGAGUGCGUUAGGGGUAGAGGGAAUUCCUGGUGUAGCGGUGAAAUGCGUAGAGAUCAGGAAGAACACCGGUGGCGAAGGCGCUCUACUAUGCCGCAACUGACACUGAGGGACGAAAGCUAGGGGAGCG